rnacentral:rRNA from 1 species
CGGAGGAUCCAAGCGUUAUCCGGAAUCAUUGGGUUAAAGGGUCCGUAGGCGGUUUGAUAAGUCAGGUGGUGAAAGCCCAUCGCUCAACGAUGGAACGGCCAUUGAUACUGUCAGACUUGAAUUACUGGGAAGUAACUAGAAUAUGUAGUGUAGCGGUGAAAUGCUUAGAUAUUACAUGGAAUACCAAUUGCGAAGGCAGGUUACUACCGGUGGAUUGACGCUGAUGGACGAAAGCGUGGGGAGCGAACAGGAUUAGAUACCCUGGUAGUCCACGCCGUAAACGAUGGAUACUAGCUGUUCGGAGCAAUCUGAGUGGCUAAGCGAAAGUGAUAAGUAUCCCACCUGGGGAGUACGUUCGCAAGAAUG